GUCUGAUUUACCUUACCUCAUAGGAAGACUUUACUGCAAUACGAACCUUUCACUCAGGAGGACUCUUUUUAACUACUUCAUCACCAAGCAAAACCCUCUAUACUACUACAAGUCGAUCCCUUCAAAGACAUCUCCACUUUUGGUGAGAUCCACCCAUAUAUAGCAGUAUUUGGAGAUAAUAAUAAUUUUCUCUUUUUUUUUCCAAAAGGCCUAG